AUAACGAGCAUCAUAACUCAACCAGAAUUCGUCACAUACGCUUAGCUUCGCGUUAAAAUCAUUAUGCGUGGUUUGUUAGUUGCUGUUCUUGUUGCUGCCUUUGUUGCAACCGUUUCUACUGGUCAUUCACACAAAAGAAGGUAUUCGAGGAGAAGGCCAGCCUUUAACCUUGAAAGGAUGAGCUGUGACAGAAUUAAAAGAGCGGGCCUAUGCCACUGUUGUAAAGACACCUGUGAUGAUGUUGAAUGUCUCAACAAUGGAGUAUGUGUCAAUGGUAUUUGUAAUUGUCCCCGUGGCUUUUCAGGAGCAGAUUGUGGUGUUGAUCUGUGUGCCGCUGAACCUUGCAAAAAUAAUGGAACUUGUGUACCUGAGGCUGGUGGAGUGUCCUGUAAAUGUGAGGAUGGAUUUAUAGGAACUUAUUGUGAGACUGAUGCGUGUGAGCCGAAUCCAUGCCAGAAUUGUGGACGUUGUAUGCGUAUUCAAGGUGGGUUCAAGUGUGAUUGUUUGGGUCGCAUCACCGGAAGAACGUGUGAAGUUAUAGACAAUAUUAUAACAUCACCUAACUACCCUAAUAAUUACCCAGACGAUAGCCCGUCUUCUACCAAUUGGACUAUUCCGGGAUGUAAUGGUAAACAGAUCCGUGUUGUGUACGAUGAUAAUUUCGGAAUAGACUACCAAAAUAUAACAUCUGGUCGUCCACAAUGUACCCCACUCGGUUCUGGCGGCUGUAACGAUAAUCAUGAAAUAACAGUUUUUUAUUAUCCAACGUCUAUUAGCCAGUCUACAUUUUGUGGCGGGAGGUCUCCUGGAACGAUUGAAUUAUCAUCUGACGUGAUAGCGAUCUAUAUACGACUUGUUACAAACGGUAACGGUGCCGGAUGCACAGGUUUCAAGUUAACGUAUACGUACCUUGAUUGAAUGCCUAAAGAAUACUGAUAAAACAUUGUAUCCAUCAAUUUCGUUUGUUGUUAGGUGCCAGUUUUUUUUUCUUCUUUUCUCCUUUCUAUAUUACCCUAAUUUCAUUUUGAUUGGUUUAAUUUUAACUAAAUGGGUCAAUUAUUUAUGUGUGUGGGUGUGUAAAUUAUUAGAUUCACUUUUUUCCAAUUUAUCAUCUUUUAUUGAUUAAUUUUUUUUUUUUUUUUUUGAAAAUGGGAUUGGUUUAAUUCGAUGUAUGGUUAACUGUGUUUGUUAAAUUGUCCUUAUAUGGGUGUGUGAAUUAUUAGAUUAAAUUUAUCAAAGAAUUAUUUAAUUUAUUUGGAAGAAGAAAUCGGGAUUGGAAGAUGUAUUAAAAUUAUCUUAAUUGAUCAAAAUGAUGUAGAAUCUGAUGAUCCGGUCUAGAAGUUAAAAUACAAAAUAAUCACAUCAACAGGAGUCGCCAGGUGCAAACACUCUCAGGUAGUAUCAGGUGUACAUGAAAGCAUAGUCUACCUCGUACUUGAUAACGUCUACUGUGCAAGUGCCAAAUGAAAGACCGAGCAUGAUUUAAUUUAAACUGUUGUCUAUAUAAAUUAUUCAGUAUGGUUUGCUGUAUUUUAUCUUAUUUUUUUGAUAUAGAUGUGUAUCUAUUCUCUCGGGGUUUCUUGAAUAAAUUAUCUGAAUUGGU